rnacentral:rRNA from 1 species
UACAGAGGUGGCAAGCGUUGUUCGGAAUUACUGGGCGUAAAGGGCGCGUAGGUGGCCUUUUGAGUCAGACGUGAAAUCCCCCGGCUUAACCUGGGAACUGCGUCUGAUACUGGAAGGCUUGAGUUCGGGAGAGGGAUGUGGAAUUCCAGGUGUAGCGGUGAAAUGCGUAGAUAUCUGGAGGAACACUGGUGGCGAAGGCGGCAUCCUGGACCGGCAUUGACGCUGAGGCGCGAAAGCCAGGGGAGCAAACGGG